UGCGCGUGCGCGCGCUGUGACGUUCCCUACGCGGUCGGGCGUUGGGUUUCGCGGCGCUAGCCGCACUGGUUGUUCAGCACCUUCGGUCCGGUUGAGGUUGUCAAGUCGGACGAAGUAGGUUGUUUCUCUGCAGUUUCCAAAGUGCCUUUCAACUCCUGCCAUGAUUCUGAGGCCUCCCCAGCCAUGUGGAACUGCAGAAGGUUGAUAAGGCAACGGACAGUUAGACAAAGAAACUUUCUCAUUUUCCCACCCGUGAGACCUUCAGUUGGAACCUUAUUUGUCGUCUUUGAAGCAAGAAUAAAAGUAGGAUGGAAGCUUCUGCGAAUUACCCUGAUAUGAGAUUAAAGGUAAGCUCUCUAUGUUGGUGUCCCUACGCACCUAUCUGUUAAGCGCAUUUGUAAAGUACCUACUGUGUGCCCAGAAAAUGGGGACACAGAAGUACAACACCUGCUUCCUGCACUUAAGGAUUUCACAAACUACUGGAGGCGGAGAAACAGCAAAGUGGGAGGAAGAAGCGACAGCAAAAGCAUGUGCAUUGACAUCACUUUGUGAUAAGUACAGUGAUAGAGUAGUUGGGGGCUGUUCCAAGAACACAGAAGGAUCUAUAAUGCUGACAGCAUGUGGAAGGAACUCUGGCUUCCAGUUCUAGGCAGCCAGAUAAUGCCCAAUCUGAAACAAAACAUAAUGCACCUCAAUCCCUGGUCAAGAUCAAGUGAGAUAAUAUGAGUGAAAGCACUUUGUAAACUGUAAAGGGUCAUUAAAAUGUUAAUAAAAGAGUUUCUUGAUGACAAA